UCUUUGUCUCUCCUUAUGUUCUUUCUUUUUUAUUUUCUUCUUUUUCUUCUUUU
rnacentral:ribozyme from 12 species